rnacentral:rRNA from 1 species
AUUGAACGCUGGCGGCAUGCCUUACACAUGCAAGUCGAACGGUAACAGGUCUUCGGAUGCUGACGAGUGGCGAACGGGUGAGUAAUGCAUCGGAACGUGCCCAGUAGUGGGGGAUAGCCCGGCGAAAGCCGGAUUAAUACCGCAUACGACCUGAGGGUGAAAGGGGGGGAUCGCAAGACCUCUCGCUAUUGGAGCGGCCGAUGUCAGAUUAGCUAGUUGGUGGGGUAAAGGCCUACCAAGGCAACGAUCUUUAGUUGGUCUGAGAGGACGACCAGGCACGCUGGGAUGGAGAACCGGCCCAGGGUCCUACGGGGGGAAGCAGUGGGGUAUUUUGGACAAUGGCCGCCAGCCUGAUCCACCCAGUCCGCGUACAGGAAGAACGUCUUCGGGUUGUAAACUGCUUUUGUCUGGGCAGAAAUCUUCUGGGUUUAUACAGCGGGAGGAUGACGAUACCUGAAGAAUCAGCACCGGCUAACUACGUGCCAGCAGCAGCCGUAAGAC